rnacentral:lncRNA from 1 species
CCCCCGCUAACCACUGACCCCCGCUAACCACUGACCUCCGCUAACCGCUGACCCCCGCUAACCACUGACCUCCGCUGACUGCUGACCCCCGCUAACCACUGACCUCCGCUAACCGCUGACCACCGCUAACCACUGAUCUCCACUAACCACUGUUCUCCGGUAACCGCUGACCCCCGCUAACCGCUGAUCCCCGCUAACCACUGACCUCCGCAGACCGCUGACCACCGCUAACCACUGACCUCCGCUGACCGCUGACCACCGCUAACCGCUGACCACCGCUAACCGCUGACCUCCGCUAACCGCUGACCCCCGCUAACCACUGACCUCCGCUGACCGCUAACCACUGACACCUGCUAACCGCUGACCACCGCUAACCACCGCUAACCACUGACCUCCGCUGACCGCCGACCACCGCUAACCACUGACCCCUGCUAACCACUGACCUCCGCUGACCGCUAACCACUGACACCUGCUAACCGCUGACCACCGCUAACCACUGACCUCCGCUGACCGCUGACCACCGCUAACCACUGACCACCACUAACCGCAUGGGAUGGUCCAAAACCUUCUGACCACAGCUGGUACUGGUCCAACUGGUACUGGUCCAAAUGGUACUGGUCCAACUACUACUGGUCCAAAUGGUCAGAUACUGGUCCAACUGGUACUGGUCCAACUGGUACUGGUCCAUACAGAACAGAGUCCUUCAGGGAGGAUCCACAGUCCUCCUCUUGUUGUCUGGUCCACAGGCUGCUAACCGCUACUAGACGGAACGCACUGGAUGGAUCUACAUGGAGUAGACCAUGGUCCAACAGUGGAAGGGCUGAUGGAGUAAACCAUGGUCAAACAGUGGAAGGGCUGAGAGAUGGAGUAGAAGGUGGAAGGGAAGGGCUGAGAGAUGGAAUAAACCAUGGUCAAACAGUGGAAGGGCUGAUGGAGUAGACCAUGGUCAAACAGUGGAGUGGCUGAUGGAGUAGACCAUGGUCAAACAGUGGAAGGGCUGAGAGAUGGAGUAAACCAUGGUCAAACAGUGGAAGGACUGAUGGAAUAAACCAUGGUCAAACAGUGGAAGGGCUCAGAGAGGAACAAUACAUUCCUGUGGGACGAUUCUGUCACCUUCAGGUUAAACUGUACUGUAUGUUUCAUCUAGUCUGAAGUUUGGACACUGGGUGGUUCUACACUGAGUGGACAAAACAUUAGGAACACUUCCCUAACACCCUCAGAACAGCCUCACUUCGUCGUGGCGUGGACUCUACAAGGUGUUGAAAGCUUUCCAACAAGGAUGUUGGUCCAUGUUGACUCCAAUGCUUCCUACAGUUGUGUCAAGUUGGCUGUCCUUCGGUUGGUGGAACAUUCUUCAUACACACGGGAAACUAUUGAGCGUGAAAAAUCCAGCAGCGUUGCAGUUCUUGACACAAAACGGUGCACCUGGCACCUACUACCAUACCCCGUUUUAUUCAGUGUAUAACAGAGGUAACAUUACAUUAACACUACUGUAAUUCUGUAACUACUGUAAUUACUAUUACAUUUACACUACUGUAAUUCUGUAACUACUGUAAUUACUAUUACAUUUACACUACUGUAAUUCUGUAACUACUGUAAUUACUAUUACAUUAACACUAUUGUAAUUCUGUAACUACUGUAAUUACUAUUACAUUAACACUACUGUAAUUCUGUAACUACUGUAAUUACCAUUACAUUAAAAGUAC